CACGGAGUUAGCCGGUGCUUAUUCCUCAGGUACCGUCAGUUUGUGACGCAUCACCUUUUUCUUCCCUGAGAAAAGCCGUUUACAACCCAGAAGGCCUUCAUCCGGCACGCGGCAUGGCUGGGUCAGGCUCUCGCCCAUUGCCCAAUAUUCCCUACUGCUGCCUCCCGUAGGAGUCUGGCCCGUAUCUCAGUGCCAGUGUGGGGGAUCACCCUCUCAGGUCCCCUAGACAUCGUCGCCUUGGUGGGCCGUUACCCCGCCAACUAGCUAAUGUCACGCAACCCCAUCCUGAACCAAUAAAUCUUUCCCAAUUGCCUGAUGCCAGGCUGCUGGUAUAUGCGGUAUUAAUCCGCCUUUCGGCGGGCUAUCCCCCAGUUCAGGGCAGGUUGGUUACGCGUUACGCACCCGUGCGCCACUAGUGUAUUGCUACACCCGUUCGACUUGCAUGUAUUAGGCCUGCCGCUAGCGUUCAUCCUGAGCCAGGAUCAAACUCU
rnacentral:rRNA from 1 species